GGCUCCAUGUUAUUAUUUUAUAUGGAGUCUGACCUGCUCGGUGAAUAUAUUUUUAACAGCCGCGGUACUCUGACCGUGCAAAGGUAGCAUAAUCAUUUGCCUUAUAAUUGAAGGCUAGUAUGAAUGGUUUGACGAGAAUUAAGCUGUCUCUUUUCAAUUAAAUAUAAUUUUAUUAACAGGUGAAGAAGCCUGUGUGUUAUUGAAAGACAAGAAGACCCUAUCGAGCUUUAAGAAAUUCAAUAGAUUUAUUAUAUAUUUAUAUAAAUAUAAAACUAUUGAAAACUUUGGUUGGGGCGACUGAGGAACAAAAAAAGCUUCCUUUAUAUCUUUAGAACCUACAAGUAUUGAUCCAAUAAAUUUGAUUAAAGGAAUUAGUUACCGUAGGGAUAACAGCAUAAUCUUCUUUGAGAGUUCUUAUCGAAAAGGGGGUUUGUGACCUCGAUGUUGGACCAGAAUACCCAGAAGAUGUAGCCGUCUUCAAUGGUUGGUCUGUUCGACCAUUAAAAUUCUACGUGAUCUGAGUUCAGACCGGCGUGAGCCAGGUCAGUUUCUAUCUUCAAUUUUUAUAGUAACCUUAGUACGAAAGGACCAGGCUAUUACAAGAACAAGUUGUUGAUUUAUGAUCAAAUAUAAAAAAUGAUUUAUUGUAUAGUUUAUAUCAAAUUAGCAAAGACUAAUGCAAUUGACUUAGGAUCAAUAGACAUAGGUGAAAUCCCUUUAUUUGAUAAAUAAAGAUGGCAGAGAA
rnacentral:rRNA from 1 species